AGUCUUAUAGUUUAAUUAAAACAUUAAAUUGCAAAUUUAAAUAUGAAUUUAUUCUAAGAUUU
rnacentral:tRNA from 1 species